GCUUGGACAGCACGUCGUAGAGGGUGAAAACCCCGUCUGCGGCGACCUCGGUCGUUCACGAUGUGCUUUCGACGAGUCGGGUUGUUUGGGAAUGCAGCCCAAAAUGGGUGGUAAACUCCAUCUAAAGCUAAAUAUUGGCACGAGACCGAUAGCGAACAAGUACCGUGAGGGAAAGAUGAAAAGCACUUUGAAAAGAGAGUUAAAAAGUACGUGAAACCGUUAAAAGGGAAACGAAUGGGGUUAGCAAUGCGUCGUGCGAGAUUCAGCCGGUGGGUGGGCCAGGCGGGCGGUUGGCGGAUCUGAAUGGACCGCUGCCGUUCGGGUUGGUUUCCCGACCGUCGCCUAAAUCUACGGCGAUAUCACUACUCUCUGAGACAAGAAACACAGACAAAUAUCCCACUAAGCCCAAAACAUGCCCUUUGAUGACCCCCACCCUCCCAUAAUUCUGAAAAUUUGGCUUCUGUGUGUCAUGGAUUGUUUGGAACAUUUGCGGUGUCUGACUAAUUCUCAAAGUACGCAGGUAUGGCUUGCUGUUUCUGUAGCUUCUCUAGGGCUUUGCGUUCUUUUUCCAGCUGGUAGUUUUUUCGUGCGAUAGCAGUGCGCACCCACUUAGGUCGAUCGUGGACCACAACUCGAACUAAGGCCGCACAUAGAAUCAGCAUCUGUUCGCAACUGAAUACUAUAGCAACGACGUACCUAAAACAUAAAUUAAUUAUUAUCAGCACCAACAUUAUCAUCAUCACUAACAUAAUCAUCAUCGUAAUCAUUAUCAUCCCUAUAUUCUUCAUCCAAAAUACCAUUAUUAUAUUGUUAACCACCAACACCACCACUAUCAUUAUCAUCAUCAUCAUCAGCACCAUCACCAUCAACAUCACAACAAAAUAAGUCUUUGACAAAAGUAACACGAAAGAAGCAAUAACAACAAAAAUCAAGAAAAAGAUUUGGUUGACAGAGAAUUUGAAGGUAGAAACAAAAAUUGAUAAUAAAAACAACUAUAACAACAACAAAUACACGAAGAUCUCAAGCUGAAACCACCCUCUGUCAAUCUUUCCUCUAAUUCUUCUAUCCGUUCCUGUCCUUAAUUUUAAGACCUACCGGCCAUAUCCAGGUUUGAUGAAUUGGUCCCCUUCAAUAGUCUCGUACAUCCACGGACACCAGGAAGCAAGUUGCUCCGAUGAGAAACCCACAAUGAGGCUAUUUGUCAGCAUGGAUAGAAUCAUCAUCAUGUACAGAACGCUGUACCAGACACCGAUACUUGAAACCCUGCAUAACACGAACAAACCAUCAUCAUCAUGAACAGAACGCUGUACCAGACAUCAAUACCAGGCACCCUGUGAAACACGAACAAACCAUCAUCAUGAACAGAACGCUGUACCAGACACCGCUACUUGAAACCCUGCAUAACACGAACAAACCCUCAUCAUGAACAGAACGCUGUACAAG
rnacentral:ncRNA from 1 species